AUUCUAAUUGUCAUCACUCAG
rnacentral:miRNA from 2 species